AAGCCAUGUCGUGAUGUGAAUACACACACAUUUCUCUCUGGACCUAAAAAUCUCUCCCUUCUCUCUAAAAACAAAAGGAACCGCCACCUAGAUUUUUUAUAUUCAUAGUGGCUUCCAUAGCACUAGAGCCGGUAGAAGCAGUCUUCAAUCGGUUCUUCUCUGCCUCAGAUUAAGAAAUUUCGCCAUCGUAAAUCUAGAUCUUCUUCCUUUCUUCAAGAGACGUUCUUUGAGUCUCUAUUUUUUUGGAUGCGUUUCACCGCCUCUGUGACUUCUCGAGAGUAUUAUAAAGAGGGUCACACGACACUUUCAUUUGGUUUUAACUUGUUAUAAAGAAGAUUCUUGUAUUAUAAUCUGUUUGUGUGUUUUUCUAAGUCUCAGUUUUGUUUUAAUUUGCAAGGUUUAGGUUUUGUUAAUCUUUUUUUUGAAUUUCCAGAUUCUGAUCCAGAAAGUAUUAAUGGAUGUUGUGUAGUUUAUUUGCUCGGGUUUUUUUCCCUUUGUUUACUUUGUUUGAUCAUUGUUUCUGGUGUUCUUGUACUCGCCGACUAAUGUUUCCGGAAGUGUUCAUGUACUUGCCGGCUCUUUGUAAUUCACUUUAAACCUUAUCAAUAGAAUCUUUUUGAUGAAAAAGAAGAAGAAGCCAUGGAGCUAUUCAAACUCAUCUAACCGAUUGGAUAAAACAGCUCAUUCAUAGGAGACUACGCC
rnacentral:misc_RNA from 1 species